rnacentral:misc_RNA from 1 species
GAUGGGUUCUAUUUGCAGGAUAUGAUGAUGUGAGCCUGUGAAGAAAGCAUGUGGUGGAACGGGAGGGUGCCUUGCUAUAUUUUAGUUGCAUUAAUCACACAAACUUUAAGUCCUGGAGGCCGAAGUCCUCAGUUCUAGGAACAUGCAAACUUUAAAGAUACCAUAAUAUUCUUCCUUUGUAAGCUGCAUUGAUUCUGUAUUGGUGCUUCAAUCUGCACAUUUGUCUUUGCAGGUCAAUAAGGCCUUGAACAUUUUUGGAGCAUGAGUGCAUGUCUGAGCAUACUUAAG